rnacentral:rRNA from 1 species
AGAAUGAACGCCGGCGGCGUGCUUAACACGUGCAAGUCGAGCGAGGCCAGGGGGGCAACUCCCUGAGUCGAGCGGCGGACGGGUGAGUAACACGUGGGUAACCUACCCGGAAGUGGGGAAUACCUCGGGGAAACUCGAGCUAAUACCGCAUAACAUCUCGAGGACGAAAGUCCUUUUGAUCAAAGCGGGGCCGCAAGGCCUCGUGCUACCGGAUGGGCCCGCGCCCGAUUAGCUAGUUGGCGAGGUAAUGGCUCACCAAGGCGACGAUC